AACGGGAAAUCCGGUGCAAAUCCGGAGCGGUCGCGCCACUGUGAGCUGAUCUCAACCCACCGGGUGGAGCCGCAAGUCAGGGGACCG
rnacentral:ncRNA from 2 species